rnacentral:rRNA from 5 species
GUGACCUCGGAUCAGGU